CCAGCGUUUUCUGGCUGCCCUUGAUGUCCGACUGCAACACGAGACAGACCCAGUCCAUGAGCGACAACAAAAUCCCUUCUACCAACACAUUCAUCACGCUUCAUUACCCCUGAGAAUAUACCGUUAUAUGCAGCCAUCAAAGGCAACCAAAUCAAUGUACCCUUCCUGCAGUGACCAGAGAACUUGAAGCAGAGAAAACUUGCAUCUCCAUGACUCACCCAGAGUGGAUCAAUAGCAAUUUUUUUUCAAACCCAUGCCUUAGACACCUCCUUCUGACAAUCUGAGAAGAAUGAAGCCAGGACCCAUGACAGGGAACAGCUACUGUUACUCUGUCACCGAAUUGGUAUACUUUAUCAUGAAGUAUAUAAUACCUAGCACUUUGGUAGCCACAAAAUAACCCUGGGAUUUCACAUUCUUACUAGCACAACAAGAAAAUAAAUAGUUAAAUAGUUUGUUUUAAAACUGGUAAGGUAUUUUUUUCUGUGUGGCUGAGCAAUACUUCACAGUUAAAUGAAGUAAUACUCAUCACAAAGUU